rnacentral:rRNA from 1 species
UACGGGAGGCAGCAGUGGGGAAUAUUGCACAAUGGGCGCAAGCCUGAUGCAGCCAUGCCGCGUGUAUGAAGAAGGCCUUCGGGUUGUAAAGUACUUUCAGUCGUGAGGAAGGUGUUAAGGUUAAUAACCUUAGCAAUUGACGUUAGCGACAGAAGAAGCACCGGCUAACUCCGUGCCAGCAGCCGCGGUAAUACGGAGGGUGCGAGCGUUAAUCGGAAUUACUGGGCGUAAAGGGCACGCAGGCGGUUAAUUAAGUUGGAUGUGAAAUCCCCGGGCUUAACCUGGGAAUGGCAUUCAAGACUGGUUAGCUAGAGUCUUGUAGAGGGGGUAGAUUCCAUGUGUAGCGGUGAAAUGCGUAGAGAUGUGGAGGAAUACCGGUGGCGAAGGCGGCCCCUGGACAAAGACUGACGCUCAUGUGCGAAAGCGUGGGGAGCAAACAGGGAUUAGAUACC